CAGCACCUCAAGUGGUCAGGAUGAUUAUUGGGCCUAAAGCAUCCGUAGCCGGCUCUGUAAGUUUUCGGUUAAAUCUGUAUGCUCAACAUACAGGCUGCCGGGAAUACUGCAGAGCUAGGGAGUGGGAGAGGUAGACGGUACUCGGUAGGAAGGGGUAAAAUCCUUUGAUCUAUUGAUGACCACCUGUGGCGAAGGCGGUCUACCAGAGCACGUCCGACGGUGAGGGAUGAAAGCUGGGGGAGCAAACCGGAUUAGAUACCCGAGUAGUCC
rnacentral:rRNA from 1 species